rnacentral:lncRNA from 1 species
ACCUAUCAGGAUCAAACUGCAUCACGGAAGCUGCACACGAUGACACCCUGUCUGGAAAGUUUUUGCCAGAGGGCAAAAGACUGCAAGCAGAAUAUCCCUUUGCCAUUUCUCAUUCAGGACUGGCCGUUGUCUGAAAGCAAACCUCAAGGACAGGACUUCUGGACUCCGCAGCCACUUCAGGCUGCUGCUCCAUCGCAUGAAUUCCAGCAGGUGGCGCUGCACCCCGCGCGGACCCGGCUUGCCUCUCGGCCCCAGGGAGGUCGGUUGAUGAGCAGUCGGGAAGUGGGUCUGCGCGCACCCCGCUGCAGCUGUGGCAAACGCAAACGAUGACACACAGGCUUGACGAGGGCCUUUGUCAGAAGCAAUGGGGAUCUGGCGUCACCGCACAAUGGAAAACAAAGUGCUUCUGCCUGGCUGGCCAGAAUGCACGUUUGCUCACUAUUGAUGCUGGGGCAUUUACAGGCAGAAUGAGUUCAUGUGAAAUUUCAGGAUCUGCCAUGACUCAGAUUCACUUUCUGUAAACCAGAGUCAACAUUACAUUUCCCUUUACUCUGGGCCAUUCCUUGAAUUUUUAGGUCACCAGUUGUUUUUGUACUAACUGAAGGGAUUUGAGUAUUUCACAAGCACCUUAUUUUUAUUAGCAUUUUUAGGGCAUUACCAAUUUGGGACGGAUCUGUAGUGUGAGAGAUUGUUGUCACUCUUAGCUCCAAACAUAGGUUGACUUUAUAUAUUAUUUACAUGUUCAGAAUUAUACUGUGUAGAAAUUCAAAUGAAACUUGCAAAAUACUUUUCUGGCAGGAAGCCCUGGAGAGGAUCGUUCAUGGAAACAAGGAUGACGACUGGGGUAAGAAAUGCAGGUGACUCGUGAGUGGUCAGGGAGUGGAAGAGAAGACGGCUGGAAGGUUUUAGCAUUCAGAAAAAAAAUGGAGACAACUAGAGUUGAUCUGAAGAUUAUGGCAGAAUUCAAUAUUGGGGGAAAGAAACAAGAUGGGGGUUAGAAAUUAGAAACAGCAGAGCUCCACAGGUUGGAAAGGUUGGAAAGGAUUUGAGCAAGAGAACAAGGAGCCUGCUAAUAGCACCCUGGGUUUACAUCAAGAGAAGCACCUGGAGAGAAUUAACUCGGGAGGAGGUGGGGGCAUGGGAAACCUUUUCAUCUCCAAGAGCGGGCAGGAACAGCAGCUGGCCUGAACUUGAAGGUACACCAGGUAGCUUGCGUGGGCCAGGAGAAGGUGAUUCUCUUCUAUGCCUCUCUCCAACGCCCUGCUUCUGAUGCUGCUCCUCUACCUGUAUUGAGGGGAAGAUACAUCCCUAAGAAGUUCCCUGAACCCCAUUCUUUGUUGUGGCUAACUGGUCCCCUUGGAAUUUUUCUACUAAUUUUCAAUUCCCCCUCUCACCUGGUGAAAUCUUGAAUCUUACUGUUCAAUAAAAGUUCUUCUACCGAAA